rnacentral:tRNA from 1 species
GGUGGGUUGGCUCAGUGGUUAGAGCGUAGGUCUCGUAACCGAAAGGUUGCGGGAUCGAGUCCCGCUAGAGGCUG